rnacentral:miRNA from 1 species
AGAGCAGCUGAGAGGAUG